rnacentral:tRNA from 1 species
GAGGGAAUAGCUCAGUGGUAGAGCCCGUGCUUAGAAUGCAUGAGGUCCUGGGUUCAAUCCCCAGCACCUCCA